rnacentral:rRNA from 1 species
GAUGAACGCUGGCGGCAUGCCUAACACAUGCAAGUCGAUCGGUAAGGCUCUUCGGAGUACACGAGAGGCGGACGGCUGCGUAACGCGUAGGAACACACCCUGCAGUGAGGGAUAAGACACCGAAAGGUGUUCUAAUACCGCAUACGGUCUUCGGAUUAAAGCAUUUAUGCGCUGAAGGAGUGGCCUGCGUCAUAUUAGAUAGUUGGUGAGGUAAUGGCUCACCAAGUCGAUGAUGUGUAGCUGGUCUGAGAGGAUGAUCAGCCAGACUGGAACUGAGACACGGUCCAGACUCCUACGGGAAGCAGCAGUGAGGAAUAUUUCACAAUGAGCGAAAGCUUGAUGGAGCAAUGCCGCGUGCAGGAUGAAGGCUCUCGGGUUGUAAACUGCUUUUAUAAGAGAAGAUUAUGACGGUAACUUAUGAAUAAGGGACGGCUAACUACGUG